AGUCAAUGCAGCUAGCAGUACAUCUAGAUCCAAAGAGAAUGUACAAGAGCUCGCUAACAAAAAAAGUGACAGCUCGAGAUCCAAAUCAGCCCCAAGCUCUAAGACUGCCAGCAUGUACAGCUGAUAGAGGAUCUUAACCUGCCAGUUAAAACCGAAGAACUCAAGACUAUAUCUACGGCUUGUAAUUCUGUAAUCUGACACAAUAAAUAGUACACUAGUGUUGAAACAUU
rnacentral:sRNA from 1 species